CAUCCCUCAAUCUUCGUUCAUCUCUGAUUUAAUUGAAAUUUUGAAUUGAGCUCUCUUCAACAAUCUAUUUAGAAACCCUAGCACCCAUUUCAACUUGCAUUGCCUCCUCUUCUUUCUCUCUCCUGUCAUCUGCGUUUUCUCUCCAAACCCAAGGCAAGGGAAAGUGCAACAACAAAUCUUACAUCCUAGAGCUUCCAUCGGUAAAUUGGUAUCCAUUCCCCUCCAUUGUUCUUGUAUCUGUGUAAGUUUCUUUUGUUUUGUUUGAUAUUUGGGUCUAUUACUACUUAUAAACCAUGGUUGCUGAUGUUAUUUCCACCUACAAAACUUCCACAAACACCGCCCUAUUUGGUGUUCGGGGGUUUUUUGAAGACUACCGUCGACUACCACCGCUCAAUUUCUAAGGAAGCAUAACAACCACCGCCGGUCGUUGCCAUUGUCACCAUUGAUGUCUUACAGCCAUUAGUUCUAGACGCCCUUCUCCAAUCGGUUGAAGUUAUACAAUCCAGGAUGAUGUGUUGGCGAUGAUGGCUAUGAACUAAAUUUGAAAAUAAUGAAUCAACGUGUUUUGAAUGUGUAAUAUCUCCAGAAUCGAUGUUGUUUAGAUCCUGGAGAGUGGUUAGUGUAAUUUGUUUCUCUUUAUCCACAAACGAGAGUUCCAAAGAAGUCAUUAAUUAACAAGCAUCAUAGCACCCUUACAUGAGGUUGAUUCAAGAUGAAUGUUCAAGAACGGAAAUGGGAAGAAAUUACAGUAUAAGGAGUUUUCGAUUGGUGCAAGAACUUGGAACCGACACUACAUUGAUCACUUUGGCAAUGUCCUACAUCAUGUAUAAUCCAAAGAAAAUGGAAGUAGCCUGAAUGGAGCAUGUUAAACUUAUGCAAAAAAUAGAAGCGUACAAUUGCAAGUAUAUUGCUAUUACGGUUAAACAAGUUUUAGCAACAAUUCUAAAGAUGGUUUUAGCAAUGUCCAGGAUCACUAGAAGUGUAUGCCUUCAUUUUAGCAAACCUUUUUUAAUGGGUUUGAGUGAGAAAUUUGUGGCGGAAUGAAGAACAAAUAUUUUUAGACAUGCUAUAGGGGUUUCCCUAAAAGGUGGAAAAUGUGAGAAAAGAAAUAUAUACUAGCUUUGAAAGAGACAAAUCCGAAAAACUCAUAAUUUGAUCAAAUUCAUCAGGGAAAAAGGUAGGAAGUGGGAAGUUUAAAGUUUAAAGUAAAGCAUUAGAAAAAGUUUAAAUCUGAAUUUCAAGUUUGGAUCUCAAGGGUAAAUGUGGAAACUUAAUUUGUUUGUUUCUAAGCUUAUUAUGAUGCUAAAAUAUAGAGGUUUUACUAUCUGUCAUAUUUAUUUCUUUUAUUUUGACUUUGUCCAUGGUUUGUUGAAAAGGUAAUAACGAAGUUGUUAAAUAAAUGAAAAUUAUAAGAAAAA